UCUUGGAGUAUGUGUCCUGGAGCUGCGUUAGAAGGAAGGACAACUGUUAAUUCAUGGAAUAUGUGUUCAUAGGUCUGCAUAUAUGGUAUGUCACUCAAGUCCCUGUAUUUAGAAACACCUUUUUUUGUUCUUAAUGUACCAACAUGGUACAGCAAGCAGUGACUUAUGAAGGAGGCUUAAAACUUCCUCCCAACUUUACAUACUUAUUUAGGUACAAGCAGAUAUUUGAUGUCCAAGAAUACACUUACAUUGUUAUCUUUCUGGUCAUAAAUCGGAUGUGAAGGGCUCAAUGGAGUAAACUUUAUGCAAAUGCAAUCUCAAAUCACUCAAGUUGUGAAUUAUUUUAGCUGCUCCAAUCCUGACUUUGUAUUUAUAAAGUAAAUGUUGUGAAGUAAAAUGUAUUUACUUUACUCAAGGGAUCUUUCCAUGCAGGCUUUUAAAGAUGAACCCAAACAACCACUUUGGUCCUCUCCACUCAACCCUGCAACAGGCAGCUGGGUCUCUCCUAGCCUCCAUGAGGGAAUGAAAUCAGGACAACACGUUCAACCCCUUUCCUUCUGAGGAAGCUGAGUAGGAUCUGAUUACAGGUUUGAACUUGGUGAUCUCCAGCUGUAGGGAGACAAUUCUACCUUCUGAUGCAUAGAAGAAAGGGUGAAAUUCUGCCCCCCUCACUGAAGACAGUGCCAAAAUCCCCAUCGAGUACAAUGGGACGAGUUUAGAAUAGCAAAGAGCAUUGCCAACAGCUCUGCUCCAGCUCUGGGGGUUAGGAGAUGAUCGAAACUCAAGCUGGCGCUGUUGCUUAAUAUAAGAAUGCAUCUUCUCAAAUAAAUGCCAACAAAUUACACACUGAACUCAGUGAUCCUGCUUCCACAACUCAGUGAUACUGCAUCAACCAUGCCGGAGGAGGCAAGAGGCGGCGGGGGUAAGACCUAUUAUAUAUUGCCCAAGCUCAGAGGAAGCAGUCAUCAACAGUCAUUUAAAUUCAACUGUUUUCUAUACAAGUUCUUCCUUUUUUGAUGGAUCGCAUUACUUAGCAUGUAACUGGCUCCUGGAGCCUGGGAAAUUCUAGCACAGGGUCAUGCUCUUCCCCCACCCUCAUUGCUUUCCUGUCAGGCUGGAAACAAAGGACAGGAAUGAUGGAUUUUCCACUGGGGCAGGAUGAAGGCAAUUCACCCCUUCCACACUACAAAGCUCAUUUUAAACAGGAAACCUCAGACUUGGACUGCGACUCUAGCCUUUCCUCAUGUUUAUAAACAGUCUUGUAUUCUAGGAUCACUGCUGCAAAAGGCCACAGCUGGAAAGGAGGCUACUGCAGCCUUCUGGAUCACUGCUGCAGACUGCAGGGGGCUGUUUAAUGAGGUUGUUUGGGAAAUUUACCUUAACUUGAUGGCAAUAUGCUACAUGGUUAUAUGCACCGUUAAAGUGAACCUUUACUACGGCUUUGUACUGAUUUAACUAUAUUGGCUUCUAAAACAAUGUGGUUAAAUUGGGGCAAAAACUGUAGAUCACCCAUUACUAUCUAUUUUCUGACCAGGUAUAGAGGGCAGUUUUAAGGUAUUCCACAGUUUUCUCUUUAAGCUGGAUGGGAUGGAAAAGAUACUGCUUCCUUUACCUUUUGCUUACCCGUCACACACCUAUAACCACCUAUACUAGCAUUGCCAUAACAUCUCCCAGCCCUCAAUGGAUUAGACCGCGUACCAUUCAGGAAGAGAAGUAAUAUUAGCCCUGUUUUACAGGUAGGGAAACUGAGGCACUUUUUAUAAGUGGAAAGAAGUCUGUGUUCCCCAGUGCUUCCCUCCAAGGUUGUAUCCUGUAUGUGCACUGAACUUUAACUUCUCCAAAAUAACUUGAUAUCAGGUAAGAGCUGUACAUCAUGUGUCUGCUUCACUUUUUCUGCAGGGCAGAUUGAGAAGACUCGGGCAUAAAAGUCAAAUGUCCACACCGUAAUGCACAGCCAACUAGACUACUGUUUUGCCCCACCAAGUGCUGUCUCUCAAGUGACUGGAUGUACCCUUCACAUCAUCUGUGCAUGAGUAGCUCUGCAAUAACAAGUUAUUCUGGGGGCCUAGGAGGUCACAGCCUGGACCAAGAUCUUUUGUGCUAGGGACUGAGCCCUAACCCUAACCCUAACCCUGCUCCCAAAGAAUUGAUGACCAGCCAUUGCAAGGUCACAAAGUGCUUCGAUGCAGGAGCGGAAGUAGACAUUAUUUACCUGGAUUUUAAAAAGGCUUUUGACACAGUGUUGCACCCAGUUCUUACGAGCAAACUGAGUAGCUGUGAUGUGGAUUUUCUCACAUAAGGUGCACCACAAGCAAGUCUAGGGAAGUGAUAAUUCCCCUCUAUGCAGCAUUGGUGAGGCCACAGGCCGAGUACUGUGUCCAGUUUUGGGCACCACACUUCUAGAAGGAUGUGGAUAACCUUGAGAGGGUUCAGAGGAGAGCCACUCGCAUGGUUGAGGGCCUGCAGGAGGACCAAAGCUUGAACAAACAACUGACCUGACUGACCCUGCUGCAGAGCCGCUUCUCCCUCCUUAACCCAGGGGAUGAAAGGCAAAGCUGACACAGACUGAAAACUGUAAACUCAAGCUAUGGACAAAUGUAAUCAUCAACCUUUUUAAAAAGGUAUAGAUUCAUACAUUCAUAGACUGUAAGGCUGGAAGGGACCUUGGAAGAUCAUUGUGUCCAGCCCCCUGCACCAGGAAGGAAAGACAACUGGGGUCAGGUGACCCCAGCAAGGUGACCAUCCUGUCUCCUCUUGAAGAUCUUCAGGCUUCCAGCUUGGUAACUGCUCUUGGAUUUGUGAAUCAAGCUGGGUUCCUUCCACUUCAGGUAUCAUCGUCACCAGAAUUAGACAAUCCUGAGGUCAGUGAUGGAGUGUCCAGGGAGGCUGAAGUGUUCUUCCCCAGGCUUUUAUCAGACACAUCAGACUGCAAAGACUAGAUCCUGCCAUUGCAUCUUUUUUGGAUACAGCCCUGUGCCCUACGUAACACAAGUGUGCCUGAGAAGAUCUAGAACUAAGUUUGCUCCCUCCAGAUUUUGUUACUGCAAAGGGGAAUAGUGCAUGGGUGCCAAGAGCAAAACAAACGUGAGGCCCAAACACUUGCACACACCCCUAUUGGUUCAAAAUAAUAGCAACUGGCUAUGGUUAAAAGGAAAUUACAGCACCAGACAUAGGAGAUGAGUCAUGUUGUGACAGGGUGGACAGCUGUAGCUUUGUUUGCCCUUUUUUUUUAAAUGCAUUGGCUUGGAAUAAAGUGUAAACCUUGACUGUUGAAAUAUUUGUGAGUAUAUGGAGAAAGGCCUAUUCUGAACUGGUCUAGGCACAAAUUUUCCGUACAGUUCCCGUAAGUUGACUUUCAUUUUUGUAUUGUUGCCUCUGCAUUUUAAGAACCACUGGGGAGCUUCAUCAAAUCCUCAUUGACUUCCACGUGCGCCCUCUGCUGGCACAUUCAUGAACGUUCAGAAAGGUAAAAGCCUGGAAACCCCAAUGCUGAAUUACAACAGGGUCUCAAACCCCAGAGUAAAAUUCCUUUCUCCCUCUCCAAUAAAUGCUGACUCCUCACUCCGAAACCACACAGAAUAUCAUGUCCUGCUCAACAUAUUUGUAAUCAUUGUGUUUUGGAUUUUCUUGAGUAAUUCCUUCCGAAAUAGCUAAGACUUUAUUUUGGGUGUUUAAUAUCCUCAGAUUGAUAUGAUUUAAAUGGAGUUAUAACAAAUAUUACCUCACUUCUCUGAGAGUAAUUUUGGAAGGAGUCAGCUUCCUUCUUUCUCUCUCUCUCUCUCCCCCCCUUUCUCUUUUGAAUAGUUUAUCAGAAACAGGAUGUUGGUAAGCACUUGAAUAUCUUUGCAGGGGAUCAUUAUGAAAAUGGACUAAAGUUACAUAAUUUACAUUAGGCAGGAAACUUAGGCCUAAAGAUGCUCAUGAUAGGGCUGCCAUAACUAUUUAUGCAAUAUUAAUGAAAAUAAACACAUGUAACUGGA